GCCGGGCGUGGUGGCUCAUGCCUGUAAUCCCAGCACUUUGGGAGGCUGAGGUGGGUGGAUCACCUGAGGUCAGGAGUUCGAGACCAGCCUGGCCAACAUGGUGAAACCCCAUCUCUA
ensembl:misc_RNA Metazoa_SRP Metazoan signal recognition particle RNA